AUGCUGAUCCCAGCGCUCGCCCGUCCCCAAGGAGCUGCACGCCGCGGCCAGCGCCCUCCCGCACAUCCGUCCGCCGCCGCGCCCAGCAUCCUCCGGCCGCCGCCCUCCGGCCUGCCCUCCCGCGUCCGCCGCCGCGCCAAGCAUCCUCCGGUCGCGCCCAGCAUCCUCCGGUCGCCAUCGCGCACCACAGCUCCUCUGGUCGCGCACCCAAGCCCGUCCACACUCCGAGCUCCUCACCCGCUGGUCGUGCUCUCCGCCUCGCGAGCUCCGCCACCAGAGCAGCUGGGCGCUCCACCUCGUGUGCUCCGCUGGUCAAGCACCGCCCAUCCCUGA
rnacentral:rRNA from 1 species